GUGGGGAAUCUUCCGCAAUGGACGAAAGUCUGACGGAGCAACGCCGCGUGAGUGAUGAAGGUCUUCGGAUUGUAAAGCUCUGUUAAUCGGGACGAAAGAGCCUAGUGUGAAUAAUGCUAGGAAGUGACGGUACCGGAAUAGAAAGCCACGGCUAACUACGUGCCAGCAGCCGCGGUAAUACGUAGGUGGCAAGCGUUGUCCGGAAUUAUUGGGCGUAAAGCGCGCGCAGGCGGAUCUGCCAGUCUGUCUUAAAAGUUCGGGGCUUAACCCCGUGAUGGGAUGGAAACUACAGAUCUAGAGUAUCGGAGAGGAAAGUGGAAUUCCUAGUGUAGCGGUGAAAUGCGUAGAUAUUAGGAAGAACACCAGUGGCGAAGGCGACUUUCUGGACGAAAACUGACGCUGAGGCGUGAAAGCCAGGGGAGCGAACGGGAUUAGAUACCCUUGUAGUCC
rnacentral:rRNA from 1 species